AGCCGUCUAUUAUCAAUUGUACAAUUAUAACCCGGCACCGUCUCAAGACUUCCACCCUAGAUUUAUACCUCUCCCGGGUCUAUCCCACCCUCUCCUCGACGCCGCUCUCCUCCUCCCCUAGUCCUUUUCCAAUCUCUUUCUCUCUCUCCAUCUAAUGGAGGAAGCCGCCGUCACUUGUUCUUCCGCCCAAUUCGAAACCCUAUCUUCCAGAAACCCUCCCUCUCCCUUGGGCAAACCCGUCGAAACCCUAAUUCCAGGCAAUCUACCCUCUUUCCAAACCCUAGGUUCCUUCGAUCCCAAUCCCCCGCUGCCUCUGGAUUCCGAUAAGCCUCCGCCGCCGCCGCCGCCGGAAACCCUAGAUCCCGGACUUCAUCCGCCGCCGCCGCCGCCGCCGCCCCCAGAAACUCUAAUGGAGCCGAAGAAUUCGGAGACCGACGGCCAGAUUCCGGCCGCAUCGGAGCCAGGGGGCUCCGAGAGGCCGCCGCCGAUCUCUGAGAAUGGCCUCGCUGUGACCCACAGCGGCACCGAGAAGGACUGCUCCGGUGGUGAGGAGGACGCCAGCAGCCGCCGCCGCCGGCGCAGCCGGUGGGACCCUCCAGCGGAGUCCGACCAGAAUGGCGACAGCCGGAAGAGGAAGUCCCGUUGGGCGGAGGAGGAGCCCCAGGCCGUCAUCCAGCUUCCUGAUUUCAUGAAGGACUUCACCGCCGAUCUCGACCCCGAGGUCCAGGCCCUCAACGUGCGGCUUCUCGAUAUAAACCGCCGUCUCCAGUCCAAUUUACCCCUCGAUGACUGCCCGGAGGGUGCACGAUCGCCUUCCCCUGAGCCCAUCUAUGACAACAUGGGCAUCCGGAUCAAUACACGGGAGUACCGCGCUCGUGAGCGGCUCAACAAAGAAAGGCAGGAGAUCAUCUCCCAGCUCAUCCAGCGCAAUCCGGCGUUCCGGCCACCGCCCGACUACCGCCCUCCCAAGCUCCAGAGGAAGCUGUACAUCCCCAUGAAGGAGUACCCGGGCUACAACUUUAUAGGCCUCAUCAUCGGGCCGAGGGGAAAUACACAGAAGAGGAUGGAGAAGGAGACUGGUGCUAAGAUCGUGAUCCGGGGAAAAGGUUCGAUUAAAGAAGGAAAAAUAGCGCAAAAGAGGGACGUGAAGCCGGACCCUGUGGAGAAUGAGGACUUGCAUGUGUUGGUGGAAGCCGACACACAGGAGUCUCUCGAUGCUGGCUGUGCUAUGGUGGAGAAGCUUCUGCAGCCAGUGGACGAAUCGCUGAAUGAGCACAAGAGACAGCAACUGAGGGAGCUCGCGGCCCUCAAUGGAACCAUCAGGGAUGAGGAGUUCUGUCGGUUAUGCGGUGAGCCUGGGCACAGGCAGUAUGCUUGCCCCUCCCGUACCACUACUUUUAAGAGUGAUGUUCUUUGCAAAAUUUGUGGGGAUGGAGGGCAUCCCACCAUUGACUGUCCCAUGAAAGGAACGGGAAAGAUGAUGGAUGAUGAGUACCAGAAUUUCUUGGCUGAAUUGGGUGGGGCUGCACCGGAGCCAUUAACCAAACAAAGCUCGGCCUUGCCAGUUCUUGGAUCAAAUACUUCUGGGAGCAAUCCUCCUUGGGCAAGUGGUAACAAUGCUGGAGGCACACCAGCGAAUGGAAUCAAGAAGGAAUACGAUGAGACGAAUUUAUAUAUCGGGUACCUACCGCCUAGUCUCGAUGAUGAUGGUCUUAUCAGAUUGUUCUCAUCUUUUGGUGAUAUCAUGAUGGCCAAAGUUAUCAAGGACCGGAAUACUGGAUUGAGCAAAGGUUAUGGUUUUGUAAAGUAUUCUGAUGUGUCUAUGGCUCAACAGGCAAUAGCUAGUAUGAAUGGGUACAAUCUGGAGGGGAGAGUAAUAGCUGUGAGAGUAGCAGGUAAACCACCACAGCCGGCUGUGCCCCCCGGCCCUCCGGCUCCCCCAGCACCAAGCUACCAUGUUUCAAAUGCAUCAACUGGCGGUUACCUUCAGCAGUAUAUGCCUCCACCACCACCUGGAAGUUAUGCUCCAGUCCCAUGGGGGCCGCCAGUUCCGCAUCCAUAUGCUUCCUAUGCUCUCCCACUGCCCCCUGGUUCUAGCAUGUACACUCCGGUUACCUCAUAUGGAAUGCAGUAUCCCCCUCCACAACAGACUGUUCCUCCUGGUGCACCACCUCAGACCAUGCCUUCCAGCAAAGCAAUGCAGAAUUUUCCUCCUGGGGUGCAAUCACAGAGUAGUAAUACAGGAACCACGCCUGCAUUGAGCAACAUGUAUGGUGAUUCAGUAUCAGGAGUGGCUCCAACUGCUCCUCCACCUCCAUAUCCACCAUCUUCUUUGGGAUAUGCAUCUUACUAUGCUCCAAUUCCACCACCUGUACCGCCUCCUAGUGUUGAUCCCUCGCAGAGCACUGGAAAUGUACCAUGGGCCCUCAAUCCAUCAGCAACUCAGCCUGCAUCAUCUGCAGAACAAUCGGGCACUUAUGGCGCAGAUACUGAGUAUGAGAAGUUCAUGUCAGAGAUAAAGUGAAGCUGAUCGAUGUUUCAUAUUAUUUUGGUAUUGCAAGGAUCUAUUGUGGAAGACACAGACAGAUUGGUAUUGUGGAGAGUUGUUCCUAUCAGAUAGGGCAAGGUUAUCCAAAGGAAGGGGCAAAUCAGGUAGAGAUAGAUGGCUAGGGAGUAUUGGAAUUGGAACAUGAUCUGAUCAGAUGGGGAAUUGUGGAGAGAAUGUAACUUCAACUUCAUUCCAUGUAGGUAAUAGUGAUGAUAGGUUUUUGACAUGCCUUUUCCAGUAAGGGAAAUGUGACCAGACCCAACACCCUGAUAUUGGUUUAACACAAAAAUUGAAAUAAAAGUUCAGUCUGUUAAAACCAAGGUAUUUCGAACCAGUAUCGGUGGCCUAUCAGACCGGUUCAUCCUUCUCGGUACCAUUUUAGUACCGGGCCCGUACCGAGAGCCAGAGUCGGAGAAGACGAGGUGAAAAAGAAAGCAAGUGGGGGAGGGAGGGAGAAGGAGAGGCCUCCCCCGCCAGCAGGGGGUUGGCGGAGGCCGCUGGGGCGCGGCCGCGAAAAAUAAUUUAGGGUUUUUUAAGCGAAGUCGGCGACUUGCUUGCCGACUUCCUUUAAAAAUUUUCAAAUUAAAAAAAAAGGAAAUUUUUAAGUGAAGUCGGCAAGCGAUUUACCGACUUCACUUUAAAAACCUCCCCCUUUUUUUUUUUUUGCAGUUGCGUUCCCUGUUUCGAAAUAGGCCCCCCCUCACCCCGUGGGCUCCGCCGCCUCCCCCCCCCCCCCCCCCGGCCGCAGCCUUCGCCGGCGAUGGAGGCCUCUCCUUCUCCCUCUCUUCCCCACUCACUCUCUCCUUCUUUUCUUCUUCUCCGACUCUGGCUGGGUUCUGUCGGUACGAGCUGUGUAACGUUUUCCACAGCUGAACUGUACCGGUCAGGGUCUGAACUGGUACGGUAUGUUUUAAACUGGCAGGUACAGGCUGGUUUAGCAUACUUUGGUUAAAACAAAGAGGUUUUGUAUAUCGUGAUUUAUUGUGCUAGUAGCCUAGUACAUAUGCCUUGCAUUUGGUUUUUAACCUUCUAUUCUGUAUUUGCAGGGGAUGUCUUUCGGCUAAGACCAUAUGGAGGCAAAUGCUAUGCAUUUGCUUUUAUUUUCCCAUUCUAUCCCACUCCAAUGAUUAUAUUCUCACCAAAGCAACAAAAAAAAAUGAUUAUAUUCUCUGCUUGUCGUCAUAUUUGUUGUUGAAAUUGUGUCUGGGAGUUCUGGAUUUAGGUUUUGAUGAUUGAAUUGUUUUGGCAGGCUUGAGGUUUCUUGGAGCUAAUGUGACCUGAUUUAUUUCCUGUUGCUAUGACUUCAACUAGUUGGAUGUUUGGAACUCACAUCUUUAAUCUUGCUGUAGUGAUGAUCAUUGCGGAGACUGCUGGGCUGCUGAUUGUGUUUCAUGGUCUUCCUGUCAUUAGUGUGGGUAUGCACUGUUUGAACUGUUUGGUAUGGAAUUACUUUAGAUGGUAAUUAGUUAUUGAAGAUUUUGAGCUUCUGCCUAUUUUAGAUUGUUUGCCUAAUGUACUUUCCAAGUUUCUAUGACAGAGGAGAAGGCUCAUUACUUGAGUUGGUAAGCAGUGGUUCAUCAGGUAAGCUAUGUGGUUGUAGACUGUCAGCUGGACUGGUAAUUAAUUGCCAGUUUCGUGAGGUCGCACAGUUUAUAGGUAUUGCAUUCGUUUGCUCAUCAUAAAAUCAUAGUUAACGGUUCUAGACUGCAAUUCUGUCGAUCAUGGUGUUUCUGAACAGACCAUUUGCUGACCUUGGUUCCAUUGUUGAGCUUAACCCAUUGGGAGUGCAGAGACCUAGCCGAUGCAUUUUUGUGCCUCGUUGCUUUGAACAUCACUUGGAUUUUUUCAUCUAUUUUAAAGAAGAACAUUUUGAUACAUGUCUUUUCUUUCUAUGCCUGCUUUAUCCAUAUCUUUCUCAUACCACUUUUUAUAUUCAAAUGAAAACUGAUUUUGCAAAAUAAAAUCCCUCAUAUUGCAUCGAUGUCUGCUUCAUAAUUUUAGUAAGGCUCCUAUUGUGAAAUUUCUCAACCAUAGAUUAAUUUUAAGCACGCCUUUUAUUUUUUCUUUGUAGUACGCAAUAUGCAAUUUUUUUUUAAAAAAAGUUGUCUUGUUGCUAAUUCAACUUCUCCCUAUGAUGUAACUGAUUUGGUAGUUUUAGGAUCAACCAGAGCUGAUACCAUCUCAGCAAGCUCAUGAAGUUUGAUCCGUGCUAGCCUUGUACAAAGUGGAGCUAGCCAGGAGAUUGUGGCACCCUGCAUACAUUAAACAAGGGAACUGUUUAUGCAUGAACGAGAUAGGAAUUUCCAGUUGUAUACUGUGAUCAUUUGCUUUUGGUGAAUGACCGUGUUGAAAGUAACAACUGGGUGGGGGGCGCUUCAAGAUUAGUUUGUUCUUGCACCAAAACAAACCAGGAAGCCUAUCAAUAACUUGUGUAUAUUUUUUAACUCCUACAUUAAGUAUCAUGUUGAGGUAGAUUGUGAAGAUAACAUCGUAUUGUAAACUGGCAAGUGGUAACACUUAAAUCAACCAGGUCUGUAGAAUAGAAGACUCCUAUUAUUAUUAUUAUUAUUAAACUUCUCUGGUGCUAAAGAUGAUAGUUUUGUUUUC